UAGGGAAUCUUCCGCAAUGGGCGAAAGCCUGACGGAGCAACGCCGCGUGAGUGAUGAAGGUCUUCGGAUCGUAAAACUCUGUUAUUAGGGAAGAACAAAUGUGUAAGUAACUAUGCACGUCUUGACGGUACCUAAUCAGAAAGCCACGGCUAACUACGUGCCAGCAGCCGCGGUAAUACGUAGGUGGCAAGCGUUAUCCGGAAUUAUUGGGCGUAAAGCGCGCGUAGGCGGUUUUUUAAGUCUGAUGUGAAAGCCCACGGCUCAACCGUGGAGGGUCAUUGGAAACUGGAAAACUUAAGUGCAGAAGAGGAAAGUGGAAUUCCAUGGGUAGCGGUGAAAUGCGCAGGGAUAUGGAGGAACACCAGUGGCGAAGGCGACUUUCUGGUCUGUAACUGACGCUGAUGUGCGAAAGCGUGGGGAUCAAACAGG
rnacentral:rRNA from 1 species